rnacentral:lncRNA from 1 species
UUUUGGAAUUGGCACCCAUACUUAGGGGGAGGCCUUAUCCCUGCUCCUCUCAUCACAGCUGUUUGGCACAGUAAUACUGAUGAGCAGUAGGCAAUUGUCAUAAUCAACAAUUCAGAAAUAUUACAAUCACCAGUUCAUAAAUUCGUUUCUUACCUUUUCUUUACUUUCUUCUAAAAAGGAAAUGGGAAUGCAUUGUUUUAUUUAUUGUAUCUAUAUCUUGGGAUAACUGCUAUUACUAUUUUCAUUUUACAGAUAAUGAAAUAAAGCUCAAAGAGGCUCAGUUUCCAAGAUUACACAACCAGAAAUGACAGAAGAUGGGUCCCUCUGGGAUUCACGCUCCUCUGCUGGGAGUUUCACACCAUUCGCCAUGUCAACAUGAAGCAACAGCUGGGUUGAAGAGAGCCGAUAAAAAUAGCAGCAUCACACUGCAAGCAAGCUGCAUAGAAAAGAAGGGGAGUCACGUACUUAAUGCAGGGUGGCAUUGAUUUCUUGUCUUCCCAGUCCAGUGGUGUAUUUCUCGGACCAUCUACUUUUUCAGAAAGAGCAAAGUGAGCUGCUUGUCCAUGUAAGUGUUGGCUAGGACAAUGAGGAGAGGGCAGAUAGCUCCUGCUCUCCUGCUCUCCCACUGCUCCCUUGUUGGCCCCUGGUACGCCUGAUUGCUAACUGGCAGAUCAGGCAACUAGACAGCGUAGCCCCUGAACCAGUGAGCCCAGCCAACUCUGGGAACUUGGUUUUCAAGAUUGCUGUGAGUUGCUGCAGAAACUUCCUGCUGUUACCCUAUCUUUCCAUUCAUUAAAGUGUAGCUUGCAAUUGAACAUUCUGACAUAACAUAGCUGAGAUUUUUGGCAGCGAUGUUAACCAUAUUCAAGAGUUUCCUUCAGACGACGUUAAGUUUUUAUAUCCUCAUGAAUGCUUGCCACCUUCCUUUAAUAACUUGAAAAAACAAGCUUCUCUCAGGAACGUCAUUGUUCCAAUAUUUCCCCAGCACACAUUUACUCCUUUUAGACGUGCGUUAGGUGUGUGUAUAUUUAUAAAGUCUGGGUGUACCUAGGUGGGUUAGAAUUGGACAUCUUAUAAAAAGUCAGCAAUCUGAAUGGACCUUAGAGAAGAGGUAUUAGAAGUCUAGUAUUUUCUUCGUAAGAUCUUAUUUUUCUGCUUCUAAACUAUUCGUUCGUUUCACCACAAAACUGUAUUUUAUCAAAAAGAGUAUAUUCACUAACCCUCACUCAGCCUUGGGGUGUGAAAUAGCCUUUUACAUUUCUAAAGCAAAAACUUACAGAAAAGUUAAAAAAGGGUAAAAUGAGGGUUUCCUUCCCUUCCUCCAUAGUGAAAAAUGUAGCCUUAUUGUGUACAGACAUCACAGUAGAAUUUUAAAGUAGAAAAUUGAUUGGUUUAAAUUUCCAGCUACUGAGAUAACUGAAAAUCUUUAAAAACCCAUUCUCAUUAAAAUGCAAAGUAAUAGCGCAAAAUGCAAUGAAAAGCCAAACUGAAUUUGUAAUUUUUAAGUGCCCCCACAAAUGGGAAGUUUGUAGUCUUCUUGGAUGGCCAGUGGCUUUAGUAAGUUCUCCAAAUCCACUGUGGUGCUUGUUUGCAGGCAGAAUUAUCACAGCAGAGUUACUGUUCCCUGAAACUUUAAACAGUGUUAUGUAAUGUCACACAAUGUGGUUAACUGAGAUUUUAACACAAAUUAUGGCAUUAUUGAACCCAACAGGCUCCACUUAGAUUUGUCUUUUUUUUUUUUUUUGGUGGUUUUUUUUUUUUUUUUUUUUUGAGAUGGAGUCUCGCUCUGUCACCCAGGCUAAAUUACAGUGUGCAAUCUCAGCUCACUGCCUCCGCCUCCUGGGUUCAAGUGAUUCUCCUGCCUCACCUCCACAGUAGAUGGGACUACAGGUGCGCACCACCACAGCCGGCUAAUUUUUGUAUUUUUAGUAGGGAUGGAAUUUCGGGGUUUCACCAUGUUGGCCAGGCUUGGACUCCUGACCUCAAGUGAUCUGUCCACCUCAGCCUCCUAGAGUGCUAGGAUUACAGGUGUGAGCCACCGUGCCUGGCCUCCACUUAGAUUUGGAAAUUGACAUACAGCUGUGGUACUGCAUCCCUAAUCUACUCCUUAUGCAAAUAUACAAGGUGUAGGCUACUCUAGGGCCAGAGCAGCAGUGGUAUUAGUGACUUACUUCAUCUUGAAUUCACAGAGAAAGUCUUAGUAUCCUCUAUUUUACAGAUGAGGAAAGAGACGCUAAGAGAAAUUGAGGAACUUUGCUGACCUGAUGUAACUAGAUGGGACUAGAAACCUUGGCUCGCGGACCACAGAGUUGACAUUACAGCCAUUCACAUGAGUUUGCAUUUGUCAUCUGAACCUUCUGGAUUUCUAUCAUGUCACUUGCUGCGGUCUCUUGUAUUUGUGGGAAUUAAAAUUAAAUUGUGAUGGUUUUUAUUGACUUCUUUUCCCAAACAUGUGCAACACCAAACAGAAAAUAAAAGAUCACAGAUGGGAC